rnacentral:rRNA from 1 species
AGAGGGGACGUCGGCCUUCUUCGAUUGGAUGUACCUAGUUGGGAUAAGCUAGUAGGUGAGGUAAUGGCUCACGUAGGCGACGAUCCCUAGCUGUUCUGAGAGGAUGAUCUGCCACACUUGGACUGAGACACGACCCAGAUUCGUACUGGAGGCAGCAGUGGUGAAUAUUGCACAAUGGGCGCAAGCACUGAUGCAGCCAUGACCGUCGUGUGUGAAGAAGGCCUUACGGGUUGUAAAGCACUCUCCAGGCGAGGAGGAAAGGUUAAGUGUUAAUAGCAUNUUACCCUGUGACGUAGCUCNCAGAAGAA